CCUACGGGUUGCAGCAGUGGGGAAUAUUGCACAAUGGGCGCAAGCCUGAUGCAGCCAUGCCGCGUGUAUGAAGGAGGCCUUCGGGUUGUAAAGUACUUUCAGCGGGGAGGAAGGCGAUAAGGUUAAUAACCUUGUCGAUUGACGUUACCCGCAGAAGAAGCACCGGCUAACUCCGUGCCAGCAGCCGCGGUAAUACGGAGGGUGCAAGCGUUAAUCGGAAUUACUGGGCGUAAAGCGCACGCAGGCGGUCUGUCAAGUCGGAUGUGAAAUCCCGGGCUCAGCCUGGGAACUGCAUUCGAAACUGGCAGGCUAGAGUCUUGUAGAGGGGGGUAGAAUUCCAGGUGUAGCGGUGAAAUGCGUAGAGAACUGGAGGAGUACCGGUGGCGAAGGCGGCCCCCUGGACAAAGACUGACGCUCAGGUGCGAAAGCGUGGGGAGCAAACAGGAUUAGAUACCCGUGUAGUC
rnacentral:rRNA from 1 species